AGUGGCGAACGGGUGAGUAACACGUGAGUAACCUGCCCUUGACUCUGGGAUAAGCGCUGGAAACGGCGUCUAAUACCGGAUAUGACUUGCCUCGGCAUCGGGGUGAGUGGAAAGUUUUUCGGUCAAGGAUGGACUCGCGGCCUAUCAGCUUGUUGGUGAGGUAAUGGCUCACCAAGGCGACGACGGGUAGCCGGCCUGAGAGGGUGACCGGCCACACUGGGACUGAGACACGGCCCAGACUCCUACGGGAGGCAGCAGUGGGGAAUAUUGCACAAUGGGCGAAAGCCUGAUGCAGCAACGCCGCGUGAGGGAUGACGGCCUUCGGGUUGUAAACCUCUUUUAGUAGGGAAGAAGGACUUCGGUUUGACGGUACCUGCAGAAAAAGCACCGGCUAACUACGUGC
rnacentral:rRNA from 1 species